UACAGAGGUGGCAAGCGUUGUUCGGAAUUACUGGGCGUAAAGGGCGCGUAGGCGGUUCGUUAAGUCCUGUGUGAAAUCCCCCGGCUCAACUGGGGAACUGCACAGGAAACUAGCGGGCUUGAGUUCGGGAGAGGGAAGCGGAAUUCCAGGUGUAGCGGUGAAAUGCGUAGAUAUCUGGAGGAACACCGGUGGCGAAGGCGGCAUCCUGGACCAAUAUUGACGCUGAGGAGCGAAAGCCAGGGGAGCAAACGGG
rnacentral:rRNA from 1 species